GAUGAACGCUGGCGGCGUGCUUAACACAUGCAAGUCGAACGAUGAAGCCCAGCUUGCUGGGUGGUUUAGUGGCGAACGGGUGAGUAACACGUGAGUAACCUGCCCUUAACUCUGGGAUAAGCCUGGGAAACUGGGUCUAAUACCGGAUAGGAGCGCCUACCGCAUGGUGGGUGUUGGAAAGAUUUAUCGGUUUUGGAUGGACUCGCGGCCUAUCAGCUUGUUGGUGAGGUAAUGGCUCACCAAGGCGACGACGGGUAGCCGGCCUGAGAGGGUGACCGGCCACACGGGGACUGAGGGACGGCGCAGACUCCUACGGGAGGCAGCAGUGGGGAGUAUUGCACAAUGGGCGAAAGCCUGAGACGGCGGCGCCGGGUGAGGGAUGACGGCCUUCGGGUUGUGAACCGCUUUCAGUAGGGAAGAAGCGAAAGUGACGGUACCUGCAGAAGAAGCACCGGCUAACUACGUG
rnacentral:rRNA from 1 species